UUAAAUAUUGUUCUUGUCUUUCAACCAUUAAUAUCGCUCCACAUUAAAGAAAGAAUCUCUUUCUCUCUCAUAGCCUCUAUCUCAAUGGAGCAGCAGUUCGGUGACCAUUAAUGGAAUUGUUGUGGUCAACUGACAGAGAGUAGCUGUAGCUUCUCCCUUCCUUAUCUCUUCUUAUUACUCCGUACCCAUUUCAAGAUUUCCCUCAUUAAUACUGUUUCUUCUUUCCAAAUACCGAAAACAGCUUGAUUAUAGUAGUAGUGAAAACCACAAACAGCACUUUUAUUUCACGUAAAAUCCAAGAACCAUGGCUACUGCAUGCACUGGUUCUAAAACCACGCGUCUUCUCUCUGCUCAAGAUAGCACUGACUUCACUCUUUCCAUAAAUGCCCACAACAAAACUUCUGCCAUUCAACCUCUGCUCAAGAAUAUGAUUCUUAGCAGUAAUAGCAGAACCAAUAAGUGAAAAAGUCAAACCUUUUCUGCUAUCCUA
rnacentral:lncRNA from 1 species